CGAGUGAAGAGGGAAGAGCCCAAGAUUGAAAGCUGGCGUCUUCGGCGUCCGCAUUGUAAUCUCAAGAAGUGUUUUCCGCUUCGGACCAAGCCUAAGUCUCCUGGAAAGGAGCAUCAUAGAGGGUGAUAAUCCCGUACAUGGCUUGGAGCGCCCGUAGCUUUGUGAUACACUUUCUAAGAGUCGAGUUGUUUGGGAAUGCAGCUCAAAAUGGGUGGUAAAUGCCAUCUAAGGCUAAAUAUUGGGGAGAGACCGAUAGCGAACAAGUACAGUGAUGGAAAGAUGAAAAGAACUUUGAAAAGAGAGUUAAACAGUACGUGAAAUUGCCAAAAGGGAAGGGUAGGAGGUCAGAGAUGCGGCCUGGGAUUCAGCCUUGCUUUUGCUUGGUGUUUUUCCCAGAUUGCAGGCCAACGUCGGUUUUGGGCACUGGAGAAUGGUGGGAGGAAUGUGGCACCCCUCGGGGUGUGUUAUAGCCUCCUACUGGAUACAGCGACCGAGACCGAGGACAGCAGCGUACUCGCAAGAGCGGGCCUUCGGGCACCUUUACGCUUAGG
rnacentral:rRNA from 1 species